ensembl:lncRNA
UAAAUGGUCCGCAUAUUGGCAAAAUACCUUACUUAUUUAUGGUAAUGCAUUAUUAAAAACUUUUUUUUCCUUGUAUACAUUCUUCAGGCCUGAAAAUAAUUGACUUAAGACAAUUAUAUAGUAAUUAAAUUGAAAGCGAAAAAAACCCCACCUAUAUAUAUUUCUUCAUUGUAAGAAUGACAAAUUAUAUAUAUGUGUGUGUGUAUAUAUACAUGAGAGAGAGAGAGAUGUAAGUGACGUUAGUUUAAACGGUUCUUAAUGUCAGUUUGAAUUAGAUCAUGGUGUAUUUUGUAUAAAAAAAAAUAAAAAAAAAAUAAAAAAAAAUAAGAAAUUGAACUGAAACUGGAAUAUAUGAAAUGGACUAAUUCUGAAAGGCAUUCAUAAAUAGUUUUAAUACAGUUGUUAAUGUCAGUUUGGAGGAGAGCAUGACAAAUUGUGUAAAGCUGUUUUGAAAACCACCAUAUUAAAAUCUAUAGACAUUAAUAAAUGAAGAUGAUUAAUUUACAAAGAGACAAAUUUUUAUUAUUUAAAAAAAACUUCUUUGUGUAAUUGUAUCAGUUGAAUGCUAAAGAUUUCAAAUCAGUCAGUUUUAACCUUCAAUAUUAUAGUAAUGUAGUACCAAUGACUCUCAUGUAUAUUUUACAGCAUUAGUUGAGAAUUUUUUUUUUUGGUAGUUGAAUCGAAUUGAAAGCUUGUGAUUGAGAAUUGAAUUGAAUUGUGAAAUUUGUGUCAAAACCCAGCCCUAGCCAUGAUACUAAUUAGAGAUUGCAUUUUUUCCUUUAGUUUCACUCUGGUGGACCACUAGGUCACUGUUUGUUGGGCCGGCUUUCACAGUACACAGGGCAGGAGACCAGAGGCCAUGGUUUGAUUGUCUGAGACAUUCCUGUGCAGUGAAGCUCCUCCCACAACAACCUCACAUUCAGCAAUAAUGCUGGGAUAUUCCCAUCAGUUUACAAGUGCAGAUGAGAAGCAUCAAGAAGAGCUGAAAUCUGCAAAGACUGAGUUUAUUAAAGAGGACAGAGAGAAGAUGAGAGAUCCAGAACCCUGCCGAAUCGAACACUCUGAAGAUACUGAAGAACUAACAGGUAGUCGUGCUCAUGAAGAGCAGCACACAGAUGUUUGGAGCAGACACAGCAGCAGUCAGACUGUCCCGCACAUGUUCUCCUGCUCUUGUUCAGGGGCGUCAUCUUCCUCUCCGUGCACUCACACAAGGACAGCCUCAAUGUCCCUUUCCCGUCCAUGA